CACUGUCUUGUAAGCUGUACGGCCGUAAAUGUUUAGACACUUCCAAGAUGGCGGACGCUGAAAGUCAACACAGGUUAACAGUCAAUGCACUUGAAGAAUCAUUUCAUGAGGAAACACAGACAAAGCUAUGUGCUGAUUGUGGGAGAGAGUUCAAGACCAGGAGUGGGCUUAGAAUGAAGGUCACAUGAGAAAACACGGAUCAGAUAUGUUAACAUGUGACAAAUGCCAUAAAAGCUUUACACAUUUACAGUCCGUGAAGAGGUAUAUGAAGACAUGCUCCAUAAAGGAGGAUAACAGUGGUGGUCACUCGUCUUUCAAACAUAUGUUUCGUAAAAUCUAGCAUUACCAUCGUAAAGAACCGGUAAAAAGCUUCAAAAUACCACAGAAAUAUUCAAACAGAUAUGAUUAUUGAAUAAGAUACGACCGAAAAUAAUGUGCGUUCCUCGAUUCGAUUUUACUUUCAUCAAAUUGGCACAUUUUGCGUCAAUAUAAUUCGAGAAAUAAUGAAAUCAACAAACUUUUAGAUAAUGCCGAGGAGGAACAUGUUAUUCCGCUAUCAUUUGCUAUAAGUGUGGCCGUUAAAAGUGUUGAAGAAAACAUGUUAUCAAUGAAAAACUGGAACACCUACCUGUGUUGACUUUCAGCGUCCGCCAUCUUGGAAGUGUCUAAACAUUUACGGCCGUACAGCUUACAAGACAGUGAUCUC